rnacentral:rRNA from 1 species
UACGUAGGGUGCGAGCGUGUCCGGAAUUAUUGGGCGUAAAGAGCUCGUAGGCGGUUUGUCGCGUCUGCUGUGAAAACCCGAGGCUCAACCUCGGGCCUGCAGUGGGUACGGGCAGACUAGAGUGCGGUAGGGGAGAUUGGAAUUCCUGGUGUAGCGGUGGAAUGCGCAGAUAUCAGGAGGAACACCAAUGGCGAAGGCAGAUCUCUGGGCCGUAACUGACGCUGAGGAGCGAAAGCAUGGGGAGCGAACAGG